rnacentral:rRNA from 1 species
CCUACGGGAGGCAGCAGUGAGGAAUAUUGGUCAAUGGGCGCUAGCCUGAACCAGCCAAGUAGCGUGAAGGAUGACUGCCCUAUGGGUUGUAACCUUCUUUUAUAUGGGAAUAAAGUGCAGUAUGUAUACUGCUUUGCAUGUACCUUAUGAAUAAGGAUCGGCUAACUCCGUGCAAGCAGCCGCGGUAAUACGGAGGAUUCGAGCGUGAUCCGGAUUUAUUGGGUUUAAAGGGAGCGUAGGCGGGUUGUUAAGUCAGUUGUGAAAGUUUGCGGCUCAACCGUAAAAUUGCAGUUGAUACUGGCAUCCUUGAGUACAGUAGAGGUAGGCGGAAUUCGUGGUGUAGCGGUGAAAUGCUUAGAUAUCACGAAGAACUCCGAUUGCGAAGGCAGCCUGCUGGACUGUAACUGACGCUGAUGCUCGAAAGUGUGGGUAUCAAACAGGAUUAGAUACCCGGGUAGUC